UGAGGUAGUUAUAAAUGAAGUGA
rnacentral:miRNA from 1 species